rnacentral:pre_miRNA from 1 species
AGGUUUCUGAAUCCGUGCAGAGAUUUCGUCAGACACCAACCCAUUAGGGUUGAUCAGACUUCCAAGAUAAGUUGAGUU